AUACGUAGGUGGCAAGCGUUGUCCGGAUUUAUUGGGCGUAAAGCGAGCGCAGGCGGUUUCUUAAGUCUGAUGUGAAAGCCCCCGGCUAAACCGGGGAGGGUCAUUGGAAAAUGGGAGACUUGAGUGCCGAAGAGGAGAGUGGAAUUCCAAGUGUAGCGGUGAAAUGCGUAGAUAUAUGGAGGAACACCAGUGGCGAAGGCGACUCUCUGGUCUGUAACUGACGCUGAGGCUCGAAAGCGUGGGGAGCAAACAUGAUUAGAUACCCUGGUAGUCCACGCCGUAAACGAUGAGUGCUAAGUGUUGGAGGGUUUCCGCCCUUCAGUGCUGCAGCUAACGCAUUAAGCACUCCGCCUGGGGAGUACGACCGCAAGGUUGAAACUCAAAUGAAUUGGCGGGG
rnacentral:rRNA from 1 species